UCUGCAACCUGUACAUUAUUGAUUUCCUCCUAAGCUAUCAACUGACCAACAUUUAUCCUGUUUCUUAAUCAAUGAAAAUCGCUGGCUACAAGAUGAAACUGUCAGCUCAAAUAUCAAACUUACAUGUUAUCAAUUGACUUUAGUAGCACAAAAAAAUUGUAAAAUCUAUAUUAUUUAAAAUUCCUCAUCUACUAUAAAAUCGCUGUUUGCUACAUACCAUGCCUUCUUAAUUUCCGCAUUAAGAUCAUGGAGUAAAGAAUAAAUAAGAUUAGACUGAUAAUGAGACUUGUCACGAGCUAAAAACACAUGAACUCUAUUCCCAAUUUCAAUCCAACUACAACCAGGCUGCUUCUUCAAUCCUUUUUCCUUCAUUUUCAACCUCACUCUUGCAGCUUCUCCCCAUUUCCCACUGGAAGCAUAUAUGUUAGACAACAGUAAGUAAGUGCCUGCAUUCUCUGGCUCUUCCUUCACGAGUUCUUCUGCAGCCAGCUUCCCUAUUUUCAGAUCCCCAUAGACAUUACAUCCGGCUAGAAGAGCCCCCCAAAUGGAGGAUGAAGACUUAAUUCCAAGCUGCUUAAUUAAAUCAAAAGCCUCCUUGAGCCUCCCUGCACGACCACAUAGAUCAACCAAACAUGUGUAGUGAUCGUCUCUUACUUGUAUGGACCUGUCUUCCAGAAGCUCAUCAAAGUAUGAUAGUCCAUCCUCCACCAAACCAGCAUGGCUACAUGCAGAGAGCAACCCCACAUAGGUAACACCAUCAGGUUUAAACCCUAGAGAUCGCAUUUCAUUAAACAAUUCAAUUGCUUCACUUCCACACCCAUGAUGUGCAUAGGCUGCAAUCAUACAAUUCCAAGAAACCAAAUCCCUCGGGUGAGUUGCUGCAUCAUCAAACAUCUUCCUUGCCGAACCCAAUUCGCCACAUUUUGAGUACAUAUUUAUGAGUGCAGAUACAACAAAAGUCAUAUCCUGAUAGACAGUUUUACUUAUCAUCUGAUGAAUUUGUUGCCCCUCACCAAGACCUGCCAAGUCACUGCAAGCACCCAAAACAUUCACAAAUGUUCCCUCAUUAGGCUUCACUUGACCAUCCCUUAUCAUUUCCGUAAAGAUCUUCAAUGCUGCUUCACUUUCCCCCUCUUGGACAUACCCAGUAAUCAUUGUAGUCCAUGACACAACAUUCUUUUCAGGCAUCUUAUUGAACACCCUCAUUGCAUUCCCUAACUCCCCAUUCUGAAUAAAGCCUGUGAUCAUCGUGUUCCAUGAGGGCAGAUCCCUUUCAGGCAUUCUCUUAAACAAAUCAAGAGCCUCAUCCAACCUCUUAUUCUUCGCAUACCCAGUAACCAUUGCAUUCCAUGACACCACAUUCCUCUCUGGCAUCCUCUCAAAAACCUCCCUGGCUUCAUCAACCCUCCCAUUCUUGGCCAAUCCUGCCACCAUUGUUGUCCACGAAAUCACAUCUCUUUUAGGCAUUUCAUCAAACAAUCUUCUUGCCUCUUCCACCCUCCCACAUUGUGCCAAUGCUGUGAUCACUAUGUUCCAUGAAACCACAUUCCUCUCAGGCAUUCUAUCAAACAACUCAAGAGCCUUAUCUACUUCCCCACUUUGCGCAUACCCUUCAACCAUGGUGUUCCAUGAAACAACAUUCCUCACUGGCAUUGCCUCAAACAACUUCUUGGCUUCAAAAAUCCGAUUCCGUAUCACAUAUCCGCUAACCAUAGCAGUCCAUGUGACCACAUUUUUCAUCGCAUCAGCUCUAUCAAACAACCUCCUCGCUUCCGCAAGCAACCCGCAUUUGACAUAUCCAGUGAUCAUAGUUGUCCACGUAACAACAUCUCUUUCACGCAUUUUAUCAAACAUUUGUCGUGCUUCAUUAAUUUUUCGUUCUUUACACAAUCUCGUGAUAAGCCAAUUGGAGCGUGCGAGGUUGGAAUUGGCGCUAUGAUCUCUAUCAGGCGAUGAAAUUUUGGGAGUUAUUGUUGACUGGUUUAGCAAGUAAGAGAGAAGCUUGUGUUUGCAUAGUGCGUGUCGUUCGGUGGCUUUGCUUGACAAUGUAAUUGAUACUCGAAACAGGGAUUGCAUCGCAUCUCAAAGAAUUUUUUUUUCCCAAAUAGCCAAAACCCGGAAUUGGGUCUCUGCCAAGAGG
rnacentral:misc_RNA from 1 species